UACGGGAGGGGGCUAGCGUUGUUCGGAAUUACUGGGCGUAAAGCGCGCGUAGGCGGACCUGCAAGUCGGGGGUGAAAGCCCGAGGCUCAACCUCGGAACUGCCUUCGAUACUGCGGGUCUCGAGUCCGGGAGAGGUGAGUGGAAUUCCUAGUGUAGAGGUGAAAUUCGUAGAUAUUAGGAAGAACACCAGUGGCGAAGGCGGCUCACUGGCCCGGUACUGACGCUGAGGCGCGAAAGCGUGGGGAGCAAACAGG
rnacentral:rRNA from 1 species